CUUGCGGGGUGUGGUGUCAUAAGCUCCAUGGUGGGUGAUCGUGCGGUGUGUUCAUCUAUUUACAAAGAGGACCCAAUUCAGCAAAAAGCUUGAAAUAUGAAAACCAUUUUGAAUGGUAAAGGGGUGCGAAGCUGAAAAUUUGCAUAAGUUCAUCUCUUUGCUUGACAGGGAAAUCAUCUUAAUUUUUUGUAGCUUCAAAUUGGUUUGAAUAAUAGUGGCCGCAGUUUCUCACUCAGGUUAAAAAGCCAUGGCAGAGAGAAGCCAUAUAAGCGCCAGGGGCAUCGAUGGGGAAAAUCCUAGGUUGUCAUCUUUGUGUUCAGUGGAAUCUGGCAGUAGUUGCUUCGCGUGUAAAUUUCCUGGUCCAAACUUUUUGAAGACAACUAGUGACUAUCAGAAUAUCACAGUUCAUUCUGUUACUCAAUGCUCUCCUUCACCUGUAAUCUCUUGCGUAGAAAAGCCUCAAAGUUCUAAUAUAUCACAAAUUACGGACGCAAAUACAGAACAUGGUCAGUCACAGUCUUCUAAUAAAUCAGCAUCAUCUGGGGUCCUGCGAGAUGUACAUAUUUCAGCUCAGUUAAUGGAAGAUUUCCUUGAUCUUGCUAAAGAAAACACGGAGAAGGAUCUAGAAACCUGCGGGAUUCUUGGCGCUUUUCUUAAAAAUGGAACAUUCUAUGUGACAACUCUGAUCAUACCCAAACAGGAAUCAACUUCCAGCUCUUGUCUGGCAACAAACGAUGAGGAAGCUUUUGCCAUUCAAAACGAACACUCACUUUUUCCGGUUGGAUGGAUCCAUACACAUCCUUCUCAAAGUUGUUUCAUGUCAUCAGUGGAUUUGCACACUCAUUAUUCGUACCAGGUUAUGAUACCCGAGGCUAUUGCCGUUGUCAUGGCUCCAACUGAUACCUCAAGUCAGCUGUCACAAACAAGCGUAAAAGGAAAUGAAGGAGAGAAUGCAGUAAUUUGGAAGCGUAUCCUUCUCUGCUCACCAGUUUCCCCUUGAAAAUUUGACCAGUACGCCAAACCACGUUGGUAGCGAAAUAAGAACCCCAUUGCAGAACUAAUUAAGUAUUCCAGUUGAAUAUCCAACUGCAUCUGCAUGAAUAUCUCAUGGUUCAUAUUUUGUACCGAAAAUGUUUCGAAAUGAGCUAUGGAAUAUUUCGGCUAUCUGAUCCUGGCGGGAUGAGUGUCCUGAAAGCGUGCCAGGAGCAAGGAUUUCAUCCUCACGGAGAAACAACAGACGGGAGUCCCGUUUUCGAGCACUGCUCUAAUGUAUACAAGAAUUCAAAUCUGAGGUUCGAAAUCUUCGACUUGCGUUGACAUAAUGCCUGUUUAGAAUUUGCAAGAAUUUGGCAAAGUGAAUCCUUGGAACAGAGCUUUGGAUAAGGUUUUUAUGACGUAAUAAUGUAGAUAAACCCUACCGUGACAGUAAUAUGUAAUAAAAGUAACCAACGGGAAAAAUGUAUCUGCAUAAUUAACCAGUGUAAAACUGUAAAUAACGUUUUGAAAUUAAGGAUGCGAAGAUGGAGCAAUACUUGAAGAUCAA